rnacentral:rRNA from 1 species
CAUGCAGUCGAGCGCUUCCCUUCGGGGAGGAGCGGCGGAGGGUGAGUAAUGCGUGGGAAUAUACCCAGUUCUAAGGAAUAGNNNNNGGAAACGGUGAGUAAUACCUUAUACGCCCUUCGGGGGAAAGAUUUAUCGGAAUUGGAUUAGCCCGCGUUAGAUUAGAUAGUUGGUGGGGUAACGGCCUACCAAGUCGACGAUCUAUAGCUGGUUUGAGAGGAUGAUCAGCAACACUGGGACUGAGACACGGCCCAGACUCCUACGGGAGGCAGCAGUGGGGAAUCUUAGACAAUGGGGGCAACCCUGAUCUAGCGAUGCCGCGUGAGUGAUGAAGGUCUUAGGAUCGUAAAGCUCUUUCGCCAGGGAUGAUAAUGACAGUACCUGGUAAAGAAACCCCGGCUAACUCCGUGCCAGCAGCCGCGGUAAUACGGAGGGGGUUAGCGUUGUUCGGAAUUACUGGGUGUAAAGCGCACGUAGGCGGAUUGGAAAGUUGGGGGUGAAAUCCCGGGGCUCAACCCUGGAACUGCCUCCAAAACUAACAGUCUAGAGUUCGAGAGAGGUGAGUGGAAUUCCAAGUGUAGAGGUGAAAUUCGUAGAUAUACGGAGGAACACCUGAGGCGAAGGCGGCUUACUGGACCAAUACUGACACUGAGACUCGAAAGCGUGGGUAGCAAACAGGAUUAGAUACCCUGGUAGUCCACGCCCUAAA